ACGAUACGUAGCCGACCUGAGAGGGUGAUCGGCCACACUGGAACUGAGACACGGUCCAGACUCCUACGGGAGGCAGCAGUAGGGAAUCUUCCGCAAUGGGCGAAAGCCUGACGGAGCAACGCCGCGUGAGUGAUGAAGGUCUUAGGAUCGUAAAACUCUGUUGUUAGGGAAGAACAAAUUUGUUAGUAACUGAACAAGUCUUGACGGUACCUAACCAGAAAGCCACGGCUAACUACGUGCCAGCAGCCGCGGUAAUACGUAGGUGGCAAGCGUUAUCCGGAAUUAUUGGGCGUAAAGCGCGCGUAGGCGGUUUCUUAAGUCUGAUGUGAAAGUCCACGGCUCAACCGUGGAAGGUCAUUGGAAACUGGGGAACUUGAGUGCAGAAGAGGAGAGUGGAAUUCCAUGUGUAGCGGUGAAAUGCGCAGAGAUAUGGAGGAACACCAGUGGCGAAGGCGGCUCUCUGGUCUGUAACUGACGCUGAUGUGCGAAAGCGUGGGGAUCAAACAGGAUUAGAUACCCUGGUAGUCCACGCCGUAAACGAUGAGUGCUAAGUGUUAGGGGGUUUCCGCCCCUUAGUGCUGCAGCUAACGCAUUAAGCACUCCGCCUGGGGAGUACGACCGCAAGGUUGAAACUCAAAGGAAUUGACGGGGACCCGCACAAGCGGUGGAGCAUGUGGUUUAAUUCGAAGCAACGCGAAGAACCUUACCAAAUCUUGACAUCCUUUGAUCGCUCUAGAGAUAGAGUUUUCCCCUUCGGGGGACAAAGUGACAGGUGGUGCAUGGUUGUCGUCAGCUCGUGUCGUGAGAUGUUGGGUUAAGUCCCGCAACGAGCGCAACCCUUAAGCUUAGUUGCCAUCAUUAAGUUGGGCACUCUAGGUUGACUGCCGGUGACAAACCGGAGGAAGGUGGGGAUGACGUCAAAUCAUCAUGCCCCUUAUGAUUUGGGCUACACACGUGCUACAAUGGAUAAUACAAAGGGCAGCGAAACCGCGAGGUCAAGCAAAUCCCAUAAAAUUAUUCUCAGUUCGGAUUGUAGUCUGCAACUCGACUACAUGAAGCUGGAAUCGCUAGUAAUCGUAGAUCAGCAUGCUACGGUGAAUACGUUCCCGGGUCUUGUACACACCGCCCGUCACACCACGAGAGUUUGUAACACCCGAAGCCGGUGGAGUAACCUUUUAUUAGGAGCUAGCCGUCGAAGGUGGGACAGAUGAUUGGGGUGAAGUCGUAACAAGGUAGCCGUAUCGGAAGGUGCGGCUGGAUCACCUCCUUU
rnacentral:rRNA from 1 species